UGGUAGGUCUGAUCUCGCUGGGGCCUCCAAAUGUUGUAGCCAAAUCAGCGAGAAAUAAGAGGAGAUUUUGACAUAGCCAAAUUACUGGAAUUUAUU
rnacentral:miRNA from 1 species